rnacentral:rRNA from 1 species
UACAGAGGUCCCAAGCGUUGUUCGGAUUCAUUGGGCGUAAAGGGUGCGUAGGUGGCGCCGUAAGUCGGGUGUGAAAUUUCGGAGCUUAACUCCGAAACUGCAUUCGAUACUGCGGUGCUCGAGGACUGGAGAGGAGACUGGAAUUCAUGGUGUAGCAGUGAAAUGCGUAGAGAUCAUGAGGAAGACCAGUGGCGAAGACGGGUCUCUGGACAGUUCCUGACACUGAGGCACGAAGGCCAGGGGAGCAAACGGG